AUUGAACGCUGGCGGCGGGCCUAACACAUGCAAGUCGAGCGGAUGAAGGGUGCUUGCUCCUGGAUUCAGCGGCGGACGGGUGAGUAAUGCCUAGGAAUCUGCCUGGUAGUGGGGGAUAACGUCCGGAAACGGGCGCUAAUACCGCAUACGUCCUGAGGGAGAAAGUGGGGGAUCUUCGGACCUCACGCUAUCAGAUGAGCCUAGGUCGGAUUAGCUAGUUGGUGGGGUAAAGGCCUACCAAGGCGACGAUCCGUAACUGGUCUGAGAGGAUGAUCAGUCACACUGGAACUGAGACACGGUCCAGACUCCUACGGGAGGCAGCAGUGGGGAAUAUUGGGCAAUGGGCGAAAGCCUGAUCCAGCCAUGCCGCGUGUGUGAAGAAGGUCUUCGGAUUGUAAAGCACUUUAAGUUGGGAGGAAGGGCAGUAAGUUAAUACCUUGCUGUUUUGACGUUACCAACAGAAUAAGCACCGGCUAACUUCGUG
rnacentral:rRNA from 1 species